UACGGAGGGUGCAAGCGUUGCUCGGAAUUACUGGGCGUAAAGGGCGUGUAGGCGGUUUUGUAUGUCUGGCGUGAAAGCCCCGGGCUCACCUCGGGAAGUGCGUUGGAAACUGCAAGACUAGAGUCCCGGAGAGGAUCGCGGAAUUCCCGGUGUAGAGGUGAAAUUCGUAGAUAUCGGGAGGAACACCAGUGGCGAAGGCGGCGAUCUGGGUUGAUACUGACGCUGAUGUGCGAAAGCGUGGGGAGCAAACAGG
rnacentral:rRNA from 1 species